rnacentral:tRNA from 1 species
GAGGCAAUAUAUGGGGAGCUUCUAACUCUCUGAUGAGUACAAAUGUAUUCUUGUCUUU